UACGUAGGGGCAAGCGUUAUCCGGAAUUACUGGGCGUAAAGCGCACGCAGGCGGUUCGCCAAGUUUGGAGUGACAGUUGUCGGCUCAACCGAUAAAGGACUUCAAAAACUGGUGAACUUGAGGACGAGAGAGGAACAUGGAACUCCAGGUGUAGUAGUGAAUGCGUAGAUAUCUGGAAGAACACCAAUGGCGAAGGCAAUGUUCUGGCUCGUUUCUGACGCUCAGGUGCGAAAGCCAGGGGAGCGAACGGG
rnacentral:rRNA from 1 species